rnacentral:rRNA from 2 species
UAAUCUAUAAGAUUGUAUUAAAAUUGAAUAAAGCUUUGUUUAUAUAUUGAUAAUGACAGUAUAUAUAUUGUGUCUUGACUAAUUACGUGCCAGCAGUCGCGGUAAUACGUAAGAGACUAGUGUUAUUCAUCUUAAUUAGGUUUAAAGGGUACCUAGACGGUCAAUAUAACUUCUAGAAUGUUAGUACUUGACUAGAGUUUGAUAUAAGAGGGCAGUACUUGAGGAGAAGAGAUGAAAUUCUAUUAUACCAAAGGGACUCGGUAAAGGCGAAGGCAGCCCUCUAUGUAAAAACUGACGUUGAAGGACGAAGGCAUAGAACACAAACAGGAUUAGAUACCCAAGUAGUCUUUGCAGUAAAUGAUGAAUGCCAUAGGUUAGAGUUAGUUUUAAUAAAUUAGUUUGUCAGUAAUAAACUAACUAUUAAAUAAUAUUUAGUCUAUAAAUGAAAGUGUAAGCAUUCCACCUCAAGAGUAAUGUGGCAACGCAGGAACUGAAAUCAC